rnacentral:ncRNA from 1 species
GAACGCCGUGUGCGAUGAAAGCCGCAUGCACGGUGUGAAGGAGGGGAAAACGACCCGUACAGGUAAUGCUGACGGUGUUCGUUACCUAUUCUAU